UCAAGUUCUUCACACUUUCUCUUCCACUUUUUAAAAUGACUUUAUCUAUCUAUAUGAUAAUAUUUUGUUCCUUCUUUGUGCAUUUUAUAUAAAGAUUCAUAAAAUUUAAAGGAAAUCGUGUCUAUUAAAUUCAAUUGUAUUCCUUUAAAAUCUAAAAUAAAUCUUUUUGAGAAAUGCAUUAUAAUCUUCAACAAAUCAUUUAAAAUACUUAAAAAUCUAUUAUUUAUAUCUUCAGUUAAAUUUUUUAAAAAUUUGUUAAAUUCUUGAAUCUAAUACCAUCUCCAGAUACAUAGCCGAAAGAAUUAUUAUAAUAACUAAAGAAAAAUUAUUUCUAAUACGGCUCUAGCUCACCUUUAACAGUCUGUCAUUCUCUCAUAGUAAUGCUAUGUUUCUUUUUUAUUGCUUUGUUUCGUCUCUUUUCUACUCUCUAUGUUCGCAGCCGAGAUAUUUUUCGGAGUCAAUAUAUGGAUCGUUGAUGUAGACUUGGCCCUUCUUGCUCUGCAAAAUGAUGAUGAAGACUGGUCUUUUAGUAGAAUAGGAUGAAGAAAAUAAACUUAAGAGCUAUAUGGUUUUGAAUCAUACUAUGCUUUGAGAGCAUUCUAUUUUAGAGUAAUAUAUAGAAAAAAAAAUUAUAGAGUACCAGUUGAGAUGGUUUGAUUAGGUCGUAACUUUAUUGUCAACAAUUUGAAUUUCUUAAAAAUGAGAAAUUAAUAAUUUUAUUAUAAUAAAUUAAUUGGCUAU